GUUCAAAGCAGGCAGAUUCAAUUUUCUGCCACCGAAUACAUUAGCAUGGGAUAAUGGAAUAGGACCCUGUCCUCCUAUUUUCAGUUGGUUUUGGCAGCGCGAGGACUAGGGUAAUGAUUAAUAGGGAUAGUUGGGGGCAUUAAUAUUUAAUUGUCAGAGGUGAAAUUCUUGGAUUUAUGAAAGAUUAACUUCUGCGAAAGCAUCUGCCAAGGAUGUUUUCAUUAAUCAAGAACGAAAGUUAGGGGAUCGAAGACGAUCAGAUACCGUCGUAGUCUUAACCAUAAACGAUGCCGACCAGCGAUUAGGAGACGUUGAAUACAAAACACCACCAUCGGCGCGGUCGUCCUUGGCGCGUUCGUGUUCACGCACGGGGGCGCGAGGGCGGUUUAGCCCGGUGGCACCGGUGAAUGACUCCCCUAGCA
rnacentral:rRNA from 1 species